CAUUGAAACACAGGUUCCCGCGCGAUCACCGAAGUAAAGCAAUGUCGAGCUUAGUCAGUACCAAGAUGGGUGACCGCGUGGGAAUACAAGAUGCUGUAAG